rnacentral:rRNA from 1 species
UACGUAGGUGGCAAGCGUUGUCCGGAUUUACUGGGCGUAAAGAGCGCGCAGGCGGCCCGAGUAAGUCGAAUGUGAAAGCCCCCGGCUCAACUGGGGAAGGUCAUUCGAUACUGUUCGGCUUGAAGACAGGAGAGGGAAGCGGAAUUUCAGGUGUAGUGGUGAAAUGCGUAGAUAUCUGAAGGAACACCAGUGGCGAAGGCGGCUUUCUGGCCUAUUCUUGACGCUGAGGCGCGAAAGCUAGGGGAGCGAACGGG